rnacentral:rRNA from 1 species
AGGGCACCACCAGGAGUGGAGCCUGCGGCUUAAUUUGACUCAACACGGGAAAACUCACCCGGCCCGGACACUGGAAGGAUUGACAGAUUGAGAGCUCUUUCUUGAUUCAGUGGGUGGUGGUGCAUGGCCGUUCUUAGUUGGUGGAGUGAUUUGUCUGGUUAAUUCCGAUAACGGACGAGACUCUAGCCUACUAAAUAGUCGCGGGCGUUCUCGUACCGCCCGUCGGCUUCUUAGAGGGACAGGCGGCGUCUUAGCCGCAUGAGAAAGAGCAAUAACAGGUCUGUGAUGCCCUUAGAUGUCCGGGGCUGCACGCGCGCUACACUGAAGUAAUCAGCGCGCAUGCAGCCGCCUACCCCGAAAGGGGCGGGAAACCGAGUGAACCUUUUUCGUGUCUGGGAUUGGGAAUUGUAAUUAUUUUCCAUAAACGAGGAUUUCCCAAGUAAGCACAAGUCAUCAGCUUGUGUUGAUGGAACCUUGUCCUUUGUCCACACCGCCCGUUGCUACAAACUGAUUGGAUGU